CCCUGCCCACCAUGAGACGAGU
rnacentral:misc_RNA from 1 species